rnacentral:rRNA from 1 species
UACGAGGGGGGCAAGCGUUGUUCGGAAUUAUUGGGCGUAAAGAGCUCGUAGGCGGUUUGUCGCGUCUGCCGUGAAAGUCCGGGGCUCAACUCCGGAUCUGCGGUGGGUACGGGCAGACUAGAGUGAUGUAGGGGAGACUGGAAUUCCUGGUGUAGCGGUGAAAUGCGCAGAUAUCAGGAAGAACACCGAUGGCGAAGGCAGGUCUCUGGGCAUUAACUGACGCUGAGGAGCGAAAGCGUGGGGAGCGAUCCGG